AUGAACAUCAAACGUAAACAUGUUGAGCUAGACACUCGAUGCCCAGUGUGUAUGCGGCUGGAUGAGGACGGAGGCCAUAUUUUUCUUCGGUGCAAAUUUGUCAAACAGGUGUGGCGGCAAAUGAAUUUGGAAGAGAUCAGAUUGCAGCUCAUGGAAAAACCAAAUGCCGUAGUUGUCGUUGAGGCAGUCUGUUCCUUAUCAGCUGAAGUUCAGUGUCAGGUGGCCGUUUUGUUGUGGGAUUGCUGGACGACCCGCAAUAAAAUUUAUGCCGGUGAGAAAGCUUGGUCUGCAAGCGAGGUUACCUCUAUGGUCCAAAGGCACCUGCUAGAUUUUGCUCCUGUUGUCCUUCCACAGAUCCGAAUUGAUACUCCUGCUACAAGAUGGGAACCUCCAAGAAGGGACUUUGUCAAAGUUAAUUUCGAUGCGGCUUUUAAGCAGGAUGCACGCGAUGGGGCGUACGGAUAUGUUCUGCGCUCUGACGAGGGCGAGCUUAUUGCGGCAGGGGCGGGAAAGUUUACGCAUGUCAAAAAUGCUCUACAGGCUGAAGCAGAGGCGUGUCUAGCUGCAAUCGAGGGGGCGAGCAAUGCUGGUGUUCAUCAUAUCAUGCUGGAGUCCGAUUCUCUGUCCUUGGUACAAGCUCUCCCACUCUGGUGA
rnacentral:rRNA from 1 species